rnacentral:rRNA from 1 species
GUAGGGAAUCUUCGGCAAUGGACGAAAGUCUGACCGAGCAACGCCGCGUGAGUGAAGAAGGUUUUCGGAUCGUAAAACUCUGUUGUUAGAGAAGAAUGUUGAUUAGAGUGGAAAAUUAAUCAAGUGACGGUAUCUAACCAGAAAGGGACGGCUAACUACGUGCCAGCAGCCGCGGUAAUACGUAGGUCCCGAGCGUUGUCCGGAUUUAUUGGGCGUAAAGCGAGCGCAGGGGGUUUAAUAAGUCUGAUGUAAAAGGUAGUGGCUCAACCAUUGUGUGCAUUGGAAACUGUUAGACGUGAGUGCAGUAGAGGAGAGUGUAAUUCCAUGUGUAGCGGUGAAAUGCGUAGAUAUAUGGAGGAACACCGGUGGCGAAAGCGGCUCUCUGGACUGUCACUGACACUGAGGCUCGAAAGCGUGGGUAGCAAACAGGAUUAGAAACCCGGGUAGUCC